GUUUGAACGCUGGCGGCGUGCCUAAUACAUGCAAGUCGAGCGAACGGACGAGAAGCUUGCUUCUCUGAUGUUAGCGGCGGACGGGUGAGUAACACGUGGAUAACCUACCUAUAAGACUGGGAUAACUUCGGGAAACCGGAGCUAAUACCGGAUAAUAUUUUGAACCGCAUGGUUCAAAAGUGAAAGACGGUCUUGCUGUCACUUAUAGAUGGAUCCGCGCUGCAUUAGCUAGUUGGUAAGGUAACGGCUUACCAAGGCAACGAUGCAUAGCCGACCUGAGAGGGUGAUCGGCCACACUGGAACUGAGACACGGUCCAGACUCCUACGGGAGGCAGCAGUAGGGAAUCUUCCGCAAUGGGCGAAAGCCUGACGGAGCAACGCCGCGUGAGUGAUGAAGGUCUUCGGAUCGUAAAACUCUGUUAUUAGGGAAGAACAUAUGUGUAAGUAACUGUGCACAUCUUGACGGUACCUAAUCAGAAAGCCACGGCUAACUACGUGCCAGCAGCCGCGGUAAUACGUAGGUGGCAAGCGUUAUCCGGAAUUAUUGGGCGUAAAGCGCGCGUAGGCGGUUUUUUAAGUCUGAUGUGAAAGCCCACGGCUCAACCGUGGAGGGUCAUUGGAAACUGGAAAACUUGAGUGCAGAAGAGGAAAGUGGAAUUCCAUGUGUAGCGGUGAAAUGCGCAGAGAUAUGGAGGAACACCAGUGGCGAAGGCGACUUUCUGGUCUGUAACUGACGCUGAUGUGCGAAAGCGUGGGGAUCAAACAGGAUUAGAUACCCUGGUAGUCCACGCCGUAAACGAUGAGUGCUAAGUGUUAGGGGGUUUCCGCCCCUUAGUGCUGCAGCUAACGCAUUAAGCACUCCGCCUGGGGAGUACGACCGCAAGGUUGAAACUCAAAGGAAUUGACGGGGACCCGCACAAGCGGUGGAGCAUGUGGUUUAAUUCGAAGCAACGCGAAGAACCUUACCAAAUCUUGACAUCCUUUGACAACUCUAGAGAUAGAGCCUUCCCCUUCGGGGGACAAAGUGACAGGUGGUGCAUGGUUGUCGUCAGCUCGUGUCGUGAGAUGUUGGGUUAAGUCCCGCAACGAGCGCAACCCUUAAGCUUAGUUGCCAUCAUUAAGUUGGGCACUCUAAGUUGACUGCCGGUGACAAACCGGAGGAAGGUGGGGAUGACGUCAAAUCAUCAUGCCCCUUAUGAUUUGGGCUACACACGUGCUACAAUGGACAAUACAAAGGGCAGCGAAACCGCGAGGUCAAGCAAAUCCCAUAAAGUUGUUCUCAGUUCGGAUUGUAGUCUGCAACUCGACUACAUGAAGCUGGAAUCGCUAGUAAUCGUAGAUCAGCAUGCUACGGUGAAUACGUUCCCGGGUCU
rnacentral:rRNA from 1 species